rnacentral:rRNA from 1 species
AACGAACGCUGGCGGCAGGCUUAACACAUGCAAGUCGAACGCCCGCAAGGGGAGUGGCAGACGGGUGAGUAACGCGUGGGAAUCUACCUAGUUCUGCGGAACAACAGUUGGAAACCGACUGCUAAUACCGCAUACGCCCUACGGGGGAAAGAUUUAUCGGAAUUAGAUGAGCCCGCGUAAGAUUAGCUAGUUGGUGGGGU